AGUUAGAUGCCUGAAAAAAGGAUUAUUCUGAUAGAAUAAAAAAUGUGUAAAUCACUCUUGCUA
rnacentral:tRNA from 1 species